GACGGAGGGUGCUAGCGUUGUUCGGAAUGACUGGGCGUAAAGGGCGCGUAGGCGGCUCGUGAAGUCGGGUGUGAAAGCCCGGGGCUCAACCCCGGAACGGCAUCCGAUACUGGCGGGCUUGAGACCGGGAGAGGAGGGUGGAAUACCCAGUGUAGAGGUGAAAUGCGCAGAUAUCGGGAGGAACACCAAUGGCGAAGGCAGCUCGCUGGGACGGUACUGACGCUGAGGCGCGAAAGCGUGGGGAGCAAACAGG
rnacentral:rRNA from 1 species